rnacentral:rRNA from 1 species
AUGAACGCUGGCGGCGUGCCUAAUACCUGCAAGUCGAGCGAACAGACGAGGAGCUUGCUCCUCUGACGUUAGCGGCGGACGGGUGAGUAACACGUGGAUAACCUACCUAUAAGACUGGGAUAACUUCGGGAAACCGGAGCUAAUACCGGAUAAUAUAUUGAACCGCAUGGUUCAAUAGUGAAAGACGGUUUUGCUGUCACUUAUAGAUGGAUCCGCGCCGCAUUAGCUAGUUGGUAAGGUAACGGCUUACCAAGGCAACGAUGCGUAGCCGACCUGAGAGGGUGAUCGGCCACACUGGAACUGAGACACGGUCCAGACUCCUACGGGAGGCAGCAGUAGGGAAUCUUCCGCAAUGGGCGAAAGCUUGACGGAGCAACGCCGCGUGAAUGAUGAAGGUCUUCGGAUCGUAAAACUCUGUUAUUAGGGAAGAACAAAUGUGUAAGUAACUAUGCACGUCUUGACGGUACCUAAUCAGAAAGCCACGGCUAACUACGUG